UUAAGUUCAGCGGGUAUCCCUACCUGAUCCGAGGUCAACCGGUAAAGGAUGCAAGAUCCUUUGGUUAAAAAGACCAGCGUCCGCCGGGCCACGUUGAGCGGAAAGAAGAUUCCCAUACGCUCGGGCACCGGAUUCGGGCGCCGCCACUGCCUUUCGGGCCCGUCCACGGGGGACGAGGCCCAACACACAAGCCGCGCUUG
rnacentral:misc_RNA from 1 species